UGCGUAGGUGGUUUUUCAAGUCAGGAGUGAAAGGCUACGGCUCAACCGUAGUAAGCUCUUGAAACUGUUAAACUUGAGUGCAGGAGAGGAGAGUGGAAUUCCUAGUGUAGCGGUGAAAUGCGUAGAUAUUAGGAGGAGCACCAGUUGCGAAGGCGGCUCUCUGGACUGUAACUGACACUGAGGCACGAAAGCGUGGGGAGACAAACA
rnacentral:rRNA from 1 species